rnacentral:misc_RNA from 1 species
GUGAAUCUCUCUCUAAGGUUUUAGAGAGAAAAUUUUCUCUCGCUUAGGUCUCAGUUCAGGUUCUCUUCGGAAAAGCCGGAGUCGUCUUUGGUGGGUUUCCUUGCCCUUCGGGGUUGAGGGAACCCUUCCCUGGCUAGAGUAUAAGCUUGGCUCCCUCCCUAAUCUCUAGUUGUGGGUGUAGAUAUCCUUUUGAUUUGGUUGAUUUUGCAGAUUUUGUGCUUAUUUAAGGAGGGACUUUUGUUUCUUUGAUCUGUGUUUGCUGUGGUGUGAUAGCUUUGGUGCAGGCCUUCGUAUUUGGGUGGAUUAAAGGAAGACGAUAACGAGGAUUAAGAGCCGGCGUCACAAAAAAAAAAACAAGCAACUCGCUAGUGCUUCAUGGUUAAAAGGCCAUGACCUCUGUUUUCCUCUUUCCCAAGUCGAAGGUGAAAGAAGUUCAGUGGCUUUUAUAGAGAUGAUGGGAGUUUCUUCUUGGCCUGCUUAUUUUUCAAGCUUUGCAUGGGUUAGCAAUAAGGCCUUCGUUUCCGGUCUCUAAUGGUUGGCUUUGGUUCUACUCAGUUCUUUAAGAGGCGGCGUUGAGCAAGCUUCUUGGCUUUCUGCUUGAGUGUAGAGCUAGGUAUUUUAUGAGGAAGGGUCUUGGGCUUCUAUUGCUAGGCCUGUACUUUGGGUUGGAUCUUCUAUUGUAAAAUCAGGCUUCAAGCCUUAUAUUUGUAUUGUACUUGCUUGGGCUUCUAUGCAAUGACAAAAUUGC